rnacentral:rRNA from 1 species
GCAUAUAAGUAAGCGGAGGACAAGAAACUAAAGAGGACUCCCCAAGUAAUGGCGAAUGAACAGGGACGAGCUCAUCAUGGAAAUCGGGGCCACUGGCCUUGAAUUGUAGUCUCGAGAUGUGCAGCCAACGGAGGCGCAGAUGUAGGCCUCUUGGAAGAGAGUGUCAACGAGGGUGAGAAUCCCGCUUGUCAUCUCCAGUCCCCCGUGCACGGUGCACUUUCCAAGAGUCACGUUGCUCGGAAUUGCAGCGCAAAGUGGGUGGUAAAUCUCAUCUCAAGCUGAAGACCGGUUCGAGACCGAUAGCAAACAAGUACCAUGAGGGAAAGAUGAAAAGGACUUUGAAAAGAGAGCUAAAAGUGCCUGAAAUUGCUGAGAGGAAAGCGAACGGAACCAGUGUUGCCUGGUGAGAUUGUCGCGCGCUCAGCAGGCGCGCGGUGCUUCUUGCCUCGCGUGUCAGCACCAGUCCACGAGCGGAGACAGCCCCGGGGACGUGGCAGCCUGCCCCUGGGUGGGUGACCUUGCUCGGCGGGACUCGCUCGCGGAUUGCUAUCCUGUGUCCAGUCGCAGUGCGCCCCUGGCGCGCCCCCUGGAUGCAGACGAUGACAAAAUGGUUCACUUCGACCCGUCUUGAAACACGGACCAAGGAGUCUAACAUAUGUGCGAGUGCACGGGUGGUUAAGCCUGCCUGCAGAAUGAAAGUGACUGCUGGGAUCUUUGCACCAGCAACCGACCGAUCACUUGGGAGAGGUUUGAGUGUGAGCGCAUUUGUUAGGACCCGAAAGAUGGUGAACUAUGCCUGAGAAGGGCAAACUCAGGGGAAACUCUGAUGGAGGCUCGUAGCGAUACUGACGUGCAAAUCGUUCGUCAUACUUGGGUAUAGGGGCGAAAGACUAAUCGAACCAUCUAGUAGCUGGUUCCCUCCGAAGUUUCCCUCAGGAUAGCUGGAGUUGAACAGUUUUAUCAGGUAAAGCGAAUGAUUAGAGGAAUCGGGGGCAUGUUGCCCUCGACCUAUUCUCAAACUUUAAAUGGGUAAGAUCCAGUGGUUACUUGGGUGAACUUCUGGGAUAAAUGACAACUCUAAGUGGGCCAUUUUUGGUAAGCAGAACUGGCGAUGAGGGAUGAACCUAACGUUGGGUUAAGGUGCUCAAUUGCUCGCUCAUCAGAUACCAUAAAGGGUGUUGGUUCAUUCUAACAGCAGGACGG